GCAAAACUUGAGGCACUCUUCAAUGAACAGGUUGAGAUAGCGCUGGCGGAUGACAGUGGGAACUUUGCCCCCGAACUCUUUUGGGAUAACGGGCUUCUUUAAACUCUAGGGGAACAGAGACCAGCAGAGCGUGGCACGCUCCCGUCUGCACCCCGCUCAGGGUCUGCAAACUGAAACUGCUCGAAGGAGUAAGGCUACGGGUUAAAUGGAAACAACAAGGGAGCAGAGAGAGUGACGGAGGAAGGAACGCUUUUACGGUCAUCUGGAGCAUGAGGCAUCGGAUGACAGGACACAGGCAGUGCUGGAUCCACGGCUGCCAGAGGCACCCAUGGGCAAGGGAGAGCGAGGCCCAUCUCCCCCCUGCCAGCCUCUACCCAGGACCCAGAAGCGGGCCCUCCCUUACCUCCUUGCCUUGCUUGGAGAGGUGAGAGAUCCUCCUCUUCUGCCCAGGAAACAGAGUGGUCAGCCCCGAGUGCCCCUGUUCCUCGGUCUUCUCCUCCUUGGGGGGCUGAGACACACAUCCGGCCCUCAGCGAGGCCCCCCACACACACACCGAUGCUGCGGCUCUUCUCACCCUGGCCUGCAGCACGCGGAGGGUCUGACUCCCAGGCCCGAGUAGUGGGUGGAAGACAGUACCGUGCUGAAGGAGGGCUGCCGCGUCUAGAGAUGCGAUUUGGGGCAUCUGCCCCAUCUCCCAGGUGAGCAAACAGACUUGGCGCCCCGGAGCCAAGGCCCCCAGUUGCUGCCUGAACCCUGGGCCCCCCUCCCAGGCCCUGCGGAUGGUGAGUUCUGCAGACUUGGCCCAGCCCACGCUCACGCCUGCCUCUUGCUCCCCUCCCACCCAGCCAGCACAGGGACAAGCUCAGAAUCGUGGGAAUGAAGGGCAAGAAAUCAGAAAAGCAAAGGACCAAGAACAGGGUGGGGCACUAAUGGAGGCAGUAAGGGGCGGGGCCAGGGUCCCACCCUGGGAUCCCUCAGAAGCCGCAGGUUCUCUGCAGGGACUGACUAGCUCAGCCUGCUUUGUUUAGAGCAAGCUCCCUCUGGUGGCGAGGUGGGGACACUGCAGCAGGAGACCAGAAAGGUGGA